CGCGUCCAGCCCUCCGCAAGCGCCAGCUGGAGUGCCGUUCCGGGCCCGGCCCACUGCCGCGUCCUCCGCUGGGCUGUUUGCGAUCGAAGAGGUGUCUUCGGACGGCGUCUUAUCUUCCGCUCUACGGCGCUUCAGCUUGGAAGGCCUACCCGACCCGUCUUGAAACACGGACCAAGGAGUCUAACAUGUGCGCAAGUCGUCGGGUCGAUCACGCUUCCCUAAACCCGCAGGCGCAAUGAAAGUGAAGGCCGCCCUUCAGCGGGGCCGAGGGAGGACGGGGGCUCCUUGAGGGCCCCCCGCACUCCCGGGGCGUCUGAUUCCUCACUGCGAGGGGAGGCGCACCCAGAGCGCACACGUUGGGACCCGAAAGAUGGUGAACUAUGCCUGGCUAGGACGAAGUCAGGGGAAACCCUGAUGGAGGUCCAUAGCGAAUAUAUAUAGGUGGGUAUAGGUGCGAAAGACUAAUCGAACCAUCUAUUAGCUGGUUCCCUCCGAAGUUUCCCUCAGGAUAGCUGGCUCUCGGAGUGGAGUCUCAUCAGGUAAAGCGAAUGAUUAGAGGCCUUGGGGUCGAAACGACUUCAACCUAUUCUCAAAUUUUAUAUGGGUGAGAACUUCGGCUUGCUCGAUCAAGUAUAUUUUCAAUGAAGCUGGAGAUUGGGGAUUAGUCCCCGCGGAUCGGAGUGCCUAGUGGGCCACUUUUGGUAAGCAGAACUGGCACUGUGGGAUGAACCAAACGACGGGUUAAGGCGCCCGAAUCGACGCUCAUGGGAAACCAUGAAAGGUGUUAGUUGUUUAAGACAGCAGGACGGUGGACAUGGAAGUUGUAAUCCGCUAAGGAGUGUGUAAUAACUCACCUGCCGAAGCAACUAGCCCUGAAAAUGGAUGGCGCUGAAGCGUCGUGCCUAUACCCGGCCGUCGCGGCAGGGCGGGCCGUCUCUCCCCUCGGGGGGAGCGGGGCCGUUUGAGGCCUCGACGAGUAGGAGGGUCGCGGCGGUGCGCGCAGAAGGGUCUGGGCUUGAGCCUGCCUGGAGCCGCCGCCGGUGCAGAUCUUGGUGGUAGUAGCAAAUACUCCAGCGAGGCCCUGGAGGACUGACGUGGAGAAGGGUUUCGUGUGAACAGCCGUUGCACACGAGUCAGUCGACCCUAAGCUCUAGGAGAAAUCCGAUGUAAACGGCGUUGGGAAAAAUUAUAAGAAAGACAAAAGCCCACUGAUCGGGCGAAAGGGAAUCCGGUUCCUAUUCCGGAACCCGGCAGCGGAACCGCUGUUUGUCGGGCCCUCACAAGGGGUUCGUCAGGGCAACCUAAAAGGGCCCGGAGACGCCGUCGGGAGCCCCGGAAAGAGUUUUCUUUUCUGCAUGAGCGUUCGAGUUCCCU
rnacentral:rRNA from 1 species